GGCGGCUUGCUUAAUGCGUUAGCUGCGAUACUGAAAAUAAAUUUCCAACAUCUAGCAAUCAUCGUUUAUGGUAUGGACUACGAGGGUAUCUAAUCCUCUUUGCUACCCAUACUUUCGCGCCUCAGCGUCAGUGUUGAUCCAGAAAGCCGCCUUCGCAACUGGUGUUCUACAUAAUAUCUACGAAUUUCACCUCUACACUAUGUAUUCCGCUUUCCUCUAUCAAACUCUAGUCGAGCAGUUUUAAUUGCAGUUCCAAAGUUAAGCUUUGGGAUUUCACAAUUAACUAACUCAACGGCCUACGCGCGCUUUACGCCCAGUAAUUCCGAACUACGCUAGGUCCCUUCGUAUUACCGCGGCUGCUGGCACGAAGUUAGCCGGACCUUAUUCUUAGGGUACAGUCAUUAUCUUCCCCUACAAAAGAGCUUUACAACCCAAAGGCCUUCUUCACUCACGCGGCAUCGCUGCAUCAGAGUUUCCUCCAUUGUGCA
rnacentral:rRNA from 1 species